GUGCUUGACUCGGCAGUACAUAUACUAAAAUUGGAACGAUACGCAGAAGAUUAGCAUGACCCCUGCACACGAUGACACACAAAUUCGUGAAGUGUUCCAUAUUUGU
rnacentral:snRNA from 1 species